GAUGAACGCUGGCGGCGUGCCUAAUACAUGCAAGUCGAGCGAACAGACGAGGAGCUUGCUCCUCUGACGUUAGCGGCGGACGGGUGAGUAACACGUGGAUAACCUACCUAUAAGACUGGGGUAACUUCGGGAAACCGGAGCUAAUACCGGAUAAUAUAUUGAACCGCAUGGUUCCAUAGUUAAAGACGGUUUUGCUGUCACUUAUAGAUGGAUCCGCGCCGCAUUAGCUAGUUGGUAAGGUAACGGCUUACCAAGGCAACGAUGCGUAGCCGACCUGAGAGCGUGAUCCGCCACACUGGAACUGAGAAACGGCCCAGACUCCGACGGGAGGCAGCAGUAGGGAAUCUUCCGCAAUGGGCGAAAGCUUGACGGAGCAACGCCGCGUGAGUGAUGAAGGUCUUCGGAUCGUAAAACUCUGUUAUUAGGGAAGAACAAAUGUGUAAGUAACUAUGCACGUCUUGACGGUACCUAAUCAGAAAGCCACGGCUAACUACGUG
rnacentral:rRNA from 1 species